GUGGGGUGGUGAUGUUUAUCACUGAAACUGGAGCUGGCUGUACUUUAGAUCACAGCUCUAAUCGGUUAGACUGACUUGGACAGUAAAUCACUUCAGCAGCACUAAUAACACAGAGUGACAGGUGUACUAAACCCUCUAUUGCAGCAAUAACCUGGUCCUGCUGGUUCUUUCACUCAGGUUAGUGCUUCUGCUGUGGUUUGUUUAUUAAAGCUCCUUCACAAAAGUCACCUGGGUGGCUGCUCUGACUCAGCCAUUGAAAUGGCUGUUCUCCUGCCAUUCCCCAAUCUGGCUUCGGCUCUUUUUAUAGCCUGCUAUAAAAUUGUUUAUUUUUGCACCUGUUUAGAAAGGCUUUUUGGCCACAGGGGUCUCAUGAUGUUGUUUUCAUGGCUUCUGGAGCAGGGCUGCUCUGUUGUUGCUAGAAAUAAUUGCUGUUAAUUAAUUCUUUGCUGAUUUUUCUUUGGCAAAGCAUACUGAAAUAAGCAGAGAAGUGAACAGCAUGCUCUGUGUCUUGAUGUUGUGGGAGCUUUUAGGAGGCAUGCAGUGACAUCCAAACAAUCCCAUCAGCAGCCAGAGGAAGAGUAGGACACAGUCCUCAACUUUCUGUGGACAAAGUUAAUUGGGGGGAGGCUGAAUUACCAUCUCCAGCUGUUUGGCAGCUUCCUUCAGGCCAUAAUUUUUAAUCUCUUUCUAGAGAAAAACCACAGCCUUGUUUCCAUCUAAUGCUUUAUUCAAAUCACAAUUGAGCAAUGUUACAGAAAAUUAUGUGGUCUCAGCUCUCUGAGCUGGACCAGCAGCUGAAGGCAGCAGCCUAUGACAAGAGACUGACUGCUGGUUCCAAUAACUGCACCAUUUUCUUUUCUGUGCCCUUUUAAAAUGGUUUGUUCUUUUUUUUCUGAGGGACUUUCAGACCAGAAGUGAAGUGCUGGGCUUCAGCCCCUCUGACCUGUGGUCAUGCCUGUAUCAUCUCCAUCAUUCUCUUUGCACUGGGCUCCUGGCAGGAUCAGCCACUGCUUCCCAGGAACCCAGAGCUGGCAGCAGCUGGCUGGUCCACUUCUGUCACCCCCCUGGAAUGGGACAUCAUGGAGCCCUCUCUCUUGCUUGAAUGUCUCCAAGCUGUUCCUGGAAGAAUGAGCCAUUUGAGCCAGGAAGAGAUUAAAUUAUUGGAAUUGAGCAAAAGCAAUUUCCAUGGAAACCAAAACUGCAACGGAAAUGAGCUGCUGUAGCCUAGGUGCAGCUGGCCAGUGCUGUAGCUUGUUCACACAAACCUCCAGCUGCAAAAGCUGCCUCCCCUGUGGUGCUGAGGAAGCCUAAAGGAUCCAGCCUGGUGUAUCUGCUACUCCAGAGUUUUGCUUGAAUGCAGUUGCAGUGGCAUGAAUUAUUGAUAUCUCUGUUCAGGUUUGCUGUUCACGCAGGAAUUUGUAAUGCUUCCCCACCUUACGCUGUGAACGCGCUCUCGGGGCACAUAAAGGGUUGUGUUUAACACCC